rnacentral:misc_RNA from 1 species
CCCUUCACAAGUCUUUCCAUCUUCAUCUCUUGUCAUGCACCCCAUGAACCCAAUAUCAGCUACCUGCACCUGCCCACAGGUGUUAGGACAACCUGUCCAGUGCAUUCUCACUGGCCGAGUCACUGACACUAACCUUUGCACAUCCUCAGUCACCUUCAUGGCCCUAGCUUUUGUCUCAAUUAUGGCUUGCCCACAAAACUGGUUGCCAGUACAUGCCACUAAACCUUUCAUGAGAAGAGGUGGUUCUGGUGAGAACUUGUCUUUCAAUCGAGGCUCUUCAAGUAAGGACUCGAUCUUUGAGUUCUCAAUGUUGGGGAUUAUGAUGUUUUGCUCCACAGUGAGCCUGAGUUCACCAGAGCCAUACGUAUCGGCUAAUCGAGCUAGUUCAUCCAUGUCGUCUGCUUGGAGACGCCCUACAGGAAUGUGC